rnacentral:tRNA from 1 species
GCCGAGGUGGCGGAAUUGGUAGACGCGCUAGAUUCAGGUUCUAGUGUCCGAAAGGAUGUGAGGGUUCAAGUCCCUUCCUCGGCACCA